rnacentral:rRNA from 1 species
AGAUUAAGUUAUUAAGGGCGCACGGUGGAUGCCUUGGCACUAGAAGCCGAUGAAGGACGUUACUAACGACGAUAUGCUUUGGGGAGCUGUAAGUAAGCUUUGAUCCAGAGAUUUCCGAAUGGGGAAACCCAGCAUGAGUUAUGUCAUGUUAUCGAUAUGUGAAUACAUAGCAUAUCAGAAGGCACACCCGGAGAACUGAAACAUCUUAGUACCCGGAGGAAGAGAAAGAAAAUUCGAUUCCCUUAGUAGCGGCGAGCGAAACGGGAAGAGCCCAAACCAACAAGCUUGCUUGUUGGGGUUGUAGGACACUCUAUACGGAGUUACAAAGGACGACAUUAGACGAAUCAUCUGGAAAGAUGAAUCAAAGAAGGUAAUAAUCCUGUAGUCGAAAAUGUUGUCUCUCUUGAGUGGAUCCUGAGUACGACGGAGCACGUGAAAUUCCGUCGGAAUCUGGGAGGACCAUCUCCUAAGGCUAAAUACUCUCUAGUGACCGAUAGUGAACCAGUACCGUGAGGGAAAGGUGAAAAGCACCCCGGAAGGGGAGUGAAAUAGAACCUGAAACCGUGUGCUUACAAGUAGUCAGAGCCCGUUAAUGGGUGAUGGCGUGCCUUUUGUAGAAUGAACCGGCGAGUUACGAUUUGAUGCAAGGUUAAGCAGUAAAUGUGGAGCCGUAGCGAAAGCGAGUCUGAAUAGGGCGUUUAGUAUUUGGUCGUAGACCCGAAACCAGGUGAUCUACCCUUGGUCAGGUUGAAGUUCAGGUAACACUGAAUGGAGGACCGAACCGACUUACGUUGAAAAGUGAGCGGAUGAACUGAGGGUAGCGGAGAAAUUCCAAUCGAACCUGGAGAUAGCUGGUUCUCUCCGAAAUAGCUUUAGGGCUAGCCUCAAGUGAUGAUUAUUGGAGGUAGAGCACUGUUUGGACGAGGGGCCCCUCUCGGGUUACCGAAUUCAGACAAACUCCGAAUGCCAAUUAAUUUAACUUGGGAGUCAGAACAUGGGUGAUAAGGUCCGUGUUCGAAAGGGAAACAGCCCAGACCACCAGCUAAGGUCCCAAAAUAUAUGUUAAGUGGAAAAGGAUGUGGCGUUGCCCAGACAACUAGGAUGUUGGCUUAGAAGCAGCCAUCAUUUAAAGAGUGCGUAAUAGCUCACUAGUCGAGUGACACUGCGCCGAAAAUGUACCGGGGCUAAACAUAUUACCGAAGCUGUGGAUUGUCCUUUGGACAAUGGUAGGAGAGCGUUCUAAGGGCGUUGAAGCAUGAUCGUAAGAGNNNNNNNNNNNNNNNNNNNNNNNNNNNNNNNNNNNNNNNNNNNNNNNNNNNNNNNNNNNNNNNNNNNNNNNNNNNNNNNNNNNNNNNNNNNNNNNNNGACAUGUGGAGCGCUUAGAAGUGAGAAUGCCGGUGUGAGUAGCGAAAGACGGGUGAGAAUCCCGUCCACCGAUUGACUAAGGUUUCCAGAGGAAGGCUCGUCCGCUCUGGGUUAGUCGGGUCCUAAGCUGAGGCCGACAGGCGUAGGCGAUGGAUAACAGGUUGAUAUUCCUGUACCACCUAUAAUCGUUUUAAUCGAUGGGGGGACGCAGUAGGAUAGGCGAAGCGUGCGAUUGGAUUGCACGUCUAAGCAGUAAGGCUGAGUAUUAGGCAAAUCCGGUACUCGUUAAGGCUGAGCUGUGAUGGGGAGAAGACAUUGUGUCUUCGAGUCGUUGAUUUCACACUGCCGAGAAAAGCCUCUAGAUAGAAAAUAGGUGCCCGUACCGCAAACCGACACAGGUAGUCAAGAUGAGAAUUCUAAGGUGAGCGAGCGAACUCUCGUUAAGGAACUCGGCAAAAUGACCCCGUAACUUCGGGAGAAGGGGUGCUCUUUAGGGUUAACGCCCAGAAGAGCCGCAGUGAAUAGGCCCAAGCGACUGUUUAUCAAAAACACAGGUCUCUGCUAAACCGUAAGGUGAUGUAUAGGGGCUGACGCCUGCCCGGUGCUGGAAGGUUAAGAGGAGUGGUUAGCUUCUGCGAAGCUACGAAUCGAAGCCCCAGUAAACGGCGGCCGUAACUAUAACGGUCCUAAGGUAGCGAAAUUCCUUGUCGGGUAAGUUCCGACCCGCACGAAAGGCGUAACGAUUUGGGCACUGUCUCAACGAGAGACUCGGUGAAAUCAUAGUACCUGUGAAGAUGCAGGUUACCCGCGACAGGACGGAAAGACCCCGUGGAGCUUUACUGUAGCCUGAUAUUGAAAUUCGGCACAGCUUGUACAGGAUAGGUAGGAGCCUUUGAAACGUGAGCGCUAGCUUACGUGGAGGCGCUGGUGGGAUACUACCCUAGCUGUGUUGGCUUUCUAACCCGCACCACUUAUCGUGGUGGGAGACAGUGUCAGGCGGGCAGUUUGACUGGGGCGGUCGCCUCCUAAAAGGUAACGGAGGCGCUCAAAGGUUCCCUCAGAAUGGUUGGAAAUCAUUCAUAGAGUGUAAAGGCAUAAGGGAGCUUGACUGCGAGACCUACAAGUCGAGCAGGGUCGAAAGACGGACUUAGUGAUCCGGUGGUUCCGCAUGGAAGGGCCAUCGCUCAACGGAUAAAAGCUACCCCGGGGAUAACAGGCUUAUCUCCCCCAAGAGUUCACAUCGACGGGGAGGUUUGGCACCUCGAUGUCGGCUCAUCGCAUCCUGGGGCUGUAGUCGGUCCCAAGGGUUGGGCUGUUCGCCCAUUAAAGCGGUACGCGAGCUGGGUUCAGAACGUCGUGAGACAGUUCGGUCCCUAUCCGUCGUGGGCGUAGGAAAUUUGAGAGGAGCUGUCCUUAGUACGAGAGGACCGGGAUGGACAUACCUCUGGUGUACCAGUUGUCGUGCCAACGGCAUAGCUGGGUAGCUAUGUGUGGACGGGAUAAGUGCUGAAAGCAUCUAAGCAUGAAGCCCCCCUCAAGAUGAGAUUUCCCAACUUCGGUUAUAAGAUCCCUCAAAGAUGAUGAGGUUAAUAGGUUCGAGGUGGAAGCAUGGUGACAUGUGGAGCUGACGAAUACUAAUCGAUCGAAGACUUAAUCAAAA